CCAAUAGCGUAUAUUAAAGUUGUUGCAGUUAAAAAGCUCGUAGUUGAAUUUCGAGAUCGGCUUACUGGUCGUGCUUUUGUACGUACUGGUAUAAUCGGUUUCUCCUUUCUGACGAACUUUAAUGCCAUUAAUUUGGUGUUUUAGGGAAUCAGGACUGUUACUUUGAAAAAAUUAGAGUGUUUAAAGCAGGCUCACGCUUGAAUACAUUAGCAUGGAAUAA
rnacentral:rRNA from 1 species